rnacentral:lncRNA from 1 species
GAAUUCAUUCUCAGAAUUCUAUACGUUUAGUAGUAAAUCUAUUAAUCAUUAAUGAAACAUUCACCGCAAUUGUUUUGAUGAGAGGAAAGCAAUUGUUCUUUGAAAAAUAUAAAUCAAACACAAUUUUCAAAUAAAUAUACAACAAAGCUACAAUAUCCAUGUAAUUUUUUAUUUUUUAAAUAUUUUUUGUACGUACGAAAACCGUGCAUAGAGUGGACAGACUUCGGUGUCUAAAUUGUGUCCGAUGUGCUGUGUUCAUAUAGCACGACUGUUGUUCUUUUGUGGAUGGAGGAUGACUUAUAUUGCCUAAAGGACCUUACAUGCAUUAACAGCUUGAUAUACACAAAAAGACACUAGUUAGAUAGGUGUAUUGCUCAUUAUGUAAUUUAUUUAUUUUUUGGCAAAAUGUAAUAUAUUUUUUUAUAAAAGAAGUUUAGGUGAUUUAAUUAUUAUGUAAUUAUUUUUCAAUAAAGUGAUCAUGUAAUUUAGUUAUUAUAAUUUUGUAUAUAUUAAACUUUUUUUUUUUAAAGUAAAAUUGCACUUUCCAAGUUUUUUACUUAAAAAAAUAGCACUUAACACAUUUCACACAUUGAUAUAUUUUUUUUGUUAACCGUCUAAUUCUCAGGAAAAGGGGUUCCGGUAAUCCAAAGUUCGAUCGUGAGGUAAGUAAAAUUUUGCUCAAAAAUUGUUUCCACAAAAAAUCGACCUCAAGUACUCUGAAUGAUUCGUGGAACUCAUUAAACACUUGAGCCUAAUGCUUUUGUUGAUUUAUACAAUGUUUUGGUUAUAUGUUCAUUCCUAAUUUAAAUCUCAAGUAUCAAAGCCUGCAAUGUCAACAACAUUAAAGUCAUUGAAUCUACACUGGAUUUGAAUUGA